rnacentral:rRNA from 1 species
GCAGCCGCGGUAAUACGGAGGAUCCGAGCGUUAUCCGGAAUUAUUGGGUUUAAAGGGUCCGCAGGCGGAAGUAUAAGUCAGUAGUGAAAUCUCUCGGCUCAACCGAGAACGUGCUACAGAAACUGUACAUCUAGAGACAGAGUGGAGUUGGCGGAAUGUGACAAGUAGCGGUGAAAUGCAUAGAUAUGUCACAGAACACCGAUAGCGAAAGCAGCUGACUAACACUGAUCUGACGCUCAUGGACGAAAGCGUGGGGAGCAAACAGGAUUAGAUACCCC